UACGUAGGGACCAAGCGUUGUUCGGAUUUACUGGGCGUAAAGGGCGCGUAGGCGGCGUGGUAAGUCAGCUGUGAAAUCUCCGAGCUUAACUCGGAACGGUCAGCUGAUACUGCUGUGCUAGAGUACAGAAGGGGCAAUCGGAAUUCUUGGUGUAGCGGUGAAAUGCGUAGAUAUCAAGAGGAACACCUGAGGCGAAGGCGGGUUGCUAGGCUGAUACUGACGCUGAGGCACGAAAGCGUGGGGAUCAAACAGG
rnacentral:rRNA from 1 species